AGAGUUUGAUCAUGGCUCAGAGCGAACGCUGGCGGCGUGCUUAACACAUGCAAGUCGAGUGGGCGUCUGUAGCAAUACAGAUGGGGCAGGGGCACGGGUGAGUAACACAUGGGCAACCUGCCCUUGGACUGGGGAUAACUCGCCGAAAGGCGAGCUAAUACCGCAUGAUAUUCAGAAGACCUCGGUCUUUUGAUUCAAAGCCCGCAAGGCGCUCUAAGGAGGGCCCGCGCCCGAUAGUAGUUGGUGAGGAACGGUCCCAAGGCUUUGAUCGGUAGCCGGUUGAGAGGUGCCCGGCCACACUGGAACUAGACCGGUCAGACUCCUACGAGCAGCAUGAAUAUGCGCAAGGGCGAAAGCCUGACGCAGCGACGCCGCGUGGGGGGAAGCUUCUCGUGAGGUAAACCCCUUUCGACCCGGACGAAUGAUCCGCAAGGGUUGACGGUAGGGUUAAGAAGCCGGCAAUAACG
rnacentral:rRNA from 1 species